rnacentral:rRNA from 1 species
AUGGAGAGUUUGAUCCUGGCUCAGGACGAACGCUGGCGGCGUGCUUAACACAUGCAAGUCGAACGGAAAGGCCCGCUUGCGGGUACUCGAGUGGCGAACGGGUGAGUAACACGUGGGUGAUCUGCCUUGCACUCUGGGAUAAGCUUGGGAAACUGGGUCUAAUACCGGAUAGGAACCGUCUUUAGUGUGGUGGUUGGAAAGUUUUUUCGGUGCAAGAUGAGCUCGCGGCCUAUCAGCUUGUUGGUGGGGUGAUGGCCUACCAAGCCGACGACGGGUAGCCGGCCUGAGAGGGUGACCGGCCACACUGGGACUGAGACACGGCCCAGACUCCUACGGGAGGCAGCAGUGGGGAAUAUUGCACAAUGGGCGAAAGCCUGAUGCAGCAACGCCGCGUGGGGGAUGACGGCCUUCGGGUUGUAAACCUCUUUUAGUAGGGAAGAAGGGCUUCGGCUUGACGGUACCUGCAGAAAAAGCACCGGCUAACUACGUGCCAGCAGCCGCGGUAAUACGUAGGGUGCAAGC